rnacentral:rRNA from 1 species
UCCAGUUGAUCCUGCUGGAGAGUGCCGCUAUUGGAGUUCGAUUAAGCCAUGCAAGUCAGAGCGCCUUGUGCGCUCGGCGGACGGCUCAGUAACACGUGGAUAAUCUACCUUGUUGUGGGGGAUAACCUCUGGGAAACUGAGGGUAAUACCCCAUAGGAAACGCUUACUGGAAUGUAGUGUUUCUUAAAGCCUUCGGGCGCAACAAGAUGGGUCUGCGGUGGAUUAGGCAGUUGGUGGGGUAAUGGCCCACCAAACCUAUGAUCCAUACGGGCUGUGGGAGCAGUAGCCCGGAGAAUGGUACUGAGAUAAGGACCAUAGCCCUACGGGGUGCAGCAGGCGCGAAACCUCUACAAUGCACGAAAGUGUGAUAGGGGGACUCCAAGUGACCACGUUAGUGGUCUUUUCUUCACUUUAAAACGGUGGGGGAAUAAGAGCUGGGUAAGACCCGUGCCAGCCGCCGCGGUAAUACGGGCAGCUCUAGUGGCAUUCGCGAAUAUUGGGCCUAAAGCGUGCGUAGCCGGUCCAACAAGUCCCUGGUGAAAUCCUACAGCUUAACUGUGGGGAGUGCCAGGGAGACUGUUGAACUUGGAGCCGGGAAGGGUCGGAGGUAUUCUUUGGGUAGGGGUGAAAUCCUGUGAUCCUUGGAAGACCGACGGUGGCGAAGGCGUCCGACUGGAACGGGCUCGACGGUGAGGCACGAAAGCUAGGGGAGCGACCCGGAUUAGAUACCCGGUUAGUCCUAGCCGUAAAUGAUGCAGGUUUGGUGUGACACUCCUUACGUGGGAGUGUUGUGCCGUAGGGAAGCCGUUAAACCUGCCGCCUGGGGAGUACGGUCGCAAGACUGAAACUUAAAGGAAUUGGCGGGGGAGUACUACAAGGGGUGGAUGCUGCGGUUUAAUUGGAUACAACGCCGGACAACUCACCAGGGAAGACAGCACUAUGAUGGUCAGCUUGAAGAGCUUACUUGAGGCGCUGAGAAGUGGUGCACGGCCACCGCCAGCUCGUGCUGUGAAGUGUCCUGUUAAGUCAGGCAACGAGCGAGACCCACGCCUCCAGUUGCAACUCAUUUUCUUCGGAAGGUGGGCCACUCUGGAGGGACCGCCGUGGAUAACACGGAGGAAGGGGUGGGCGACGGUAGGUCAGUAUGCCCUGAAUUUCCUGGGCUACACGCGGCAUACAAUGCGACGCACAAUAGGAUGCGACUCUGAAAGGAGAAGCCAAACCCAUAAAACGUCGCGUAGUUUGGAUUGAGGGUUGGGACUCACCCUCAUGAAAAUGGAAUCCCUAGUAAUCGCGUGUCAUUAUCGCGCGGUGAAUACGUCCCUUCUCCUUGCACACACCGCCCGUCAAACCAUCCGAGUGGGGCCUGGACGAGGCUUGGUCCACAAAGGGCCACGUCGACUUUGAGCUCUGUGAGGAGGGUUAAGUCGUAACAAGGUA